UACGUAGGGUGCAAGCGUUAAUCGGAAUUACUGGGCGUAAAGCAUGCGCAGGCGGUUAUGUAAGACAGAUGUGAAAUGCCCGGGCUUAACCUGGGAACUGCAUUUGUGACUGCAUGGCUAGAGUUUGGCAGAGGGGGGUAGAAUUCCACGUGUAGCAGUGAAAUGCGUAGAUAUGUGGAGGAACACCGAUGGCGAAGGCAGCCCCCUGGGUCAAGACUGACGCUCAUGCACGGAAGCGUGGGGAGCAAACAGG
rnacentral:rRNA from 1 species